UACGUAGGGGGCGAGCGUUUGUUCGGAAUUACUGGGCGUAAAGGGCUCGUAGGCGGCCAACUAAGUCAGACGUGAAAUCCCUCGGCUUAACCGGGGAACUGCGUCUGAUACUGGAUGGCUUGAGUUCGGGAGAGGGAUGUGGAAUUCCAGGUGUAGCGGUGAAAUGCGUAGAUAUCUGGAGGAACACCGGUGGCGAAGGCGGCAGUCCUGGACCGACACUGACGCUGAUGAGCGAAAGCCAGGGGAGCAAACGGG
rnacentral:rRNA from 1 species